rnacentral:rRNA from 1 species
UACGUAGGUGGCAAGCGUUGUCCGGAAUUAUUGGGCGUAAAGCGCGCGCAGGUGGUUCUUUAAGUCUGAUGUGAAAGCCCACGGCUCAACCGUGGAGGGUCAUUGGAAACUGGGGAACUUGAGUGCAGAAGAGGAAAGUGGAAUUCCAAGUGUAGCGGUGAAAUGCGUAGAGAUUUGGAGGAACACCAGUGGCGAAGGCGACUUUCUGGUCUGUAACUGACACUGAGGCGCGACAGCGUGGGGAGCAAACAGG